CAACACGAUUUGCAACUGAAAUAACAAGAUGUUUUUAUACCCAAAUAAUAGAAAUCCCCAAAAUUGAUGAACCCUAAUUUAUGAAAGUGAAAUUCUCAGAAUUUUUGUAAUGUUGAAGUCAAUUAGGAGGUUUCUUCUGGAAAAUGAUCGACGAAAACGCAAAUCUCAUCUAAGUGUAGAGUGGAUGCGGCUGGAACUUACAAGAUGCUAAGGUAAUUGUGUUUUAUUGAUUUCUACUCCAUCUUUUUUGAUUUGAAGGAUAAUAGAUGUGUUGAGUUUUUGGAUUAGUCACACCAAUCUUAAUUGUACGGGACGCUUUUCUUCCGAUUGCAUGUGGGAGGAUAUUGGGCAGCAGAUGGUUCAUACAAUGGUGGUGAGACAAGAUGUUUAAGGCUUGAUUUUGAAGCCCCAAGUUUAGCAAUGUUGACAAAUAUGGUUUCAAGUGCUGGUUAUGCAGAAAAUUAUGAGUCAGAUGAUCCUUAUCUAGAUGAUGUUCUUAUUGGAGAAAGGGAAGAAGAAGAGGAACCUGAGUAUGAGAACUGUCUGAUUUUUACUGUAAUGAUUAUGUUGUGAGUGAUGACUCGGAUGAUGAUGGUGCUAGUAUAGAGUUUUAUGAAGGAAAGAAUUUGUUUCGAAAGAGAAGUGUAAGGGAAAAAUUGAGAAGUAUGCUGUGAAAGAGAAGGUGGUGAAUAUACAUUUUAAGAGAUCAGAAAGGAAGAAAGUAGGAGUGUGUGCUCAGGAUAUAUAGUUGCAAGUGGAGAAUAUAUGCAUCAAUAAGUAGUCGUUCAGAUAAAAUGGUUGUUAGAUCUUAUAAAGGAACCCAAGUUGUUAUCCUCUAGGUGUUGUGGAUCUUUAUAAGGCCCCAAAAAUAGCUGCUGAUUUUUUGAAUGAGUUUAGGACUAAUCCAAAACUGUCUGCUGACCAAAUAAUGCAGAGGUCGUAUCUAAAUGGUCUUCGGGUUUCAAAUACUAAAUGUCAGAGUGCAAGACAGAUUAUGAAACACAUCAUCACUGAUGAGUAGUAUGCUGAGCAGUUUACAAGAAUGUAUGAUUAUGUUGAGGAGCUGAGAAAGACUAAUCCUGGUUCAACAGUUAUUUUAGACAUGUAGCAACUGCCAACAAACUAGUUGGACACAACAAACGCAAAUGUAAACUUGAACCAGUGUCCAAGCCACCCACCAUGGUCAGAAACCUUCUCGGUAUUGGCUGGAUAAAAUUCUUCGUGCUCUCUCUCAUUGGUACCUUCUUGGCUUGGGUAACGGACGAAAUUGCGGAGCAUCACCCGGAGCCACUAACGGUUGCUGCAGUUUUAUUAGCUGCGAUCCACUUCUACGUCACAUCACACUGGUUUGGCAUUCACACUGAUUGUUAUAGGGCUCUUGAUGGUUGCUGCGACAGAGUGUAUUCACUUGACAAAGAUAGAUUUUGUCAAAAUACUUCUUAUGUUCGGGGAAGGUUUUCUUUUAGCAUCGUUUUCCACUUACAAGCUGUGGGCAGCACAGAGAAGAGCAGUUGAGAUACAAGAUUUAGAUUUUGAGGAUGUGGAGGGACAAGAUGUUGGAGGACAAGACCAUAAUCAGGUUGCAGCAACGGAAGAAGAUGAUGAUUUGGGCUUGGAGGAUCAUAACCUGGAAAUUGCUGUUUUCCAACCACCUGAGGUUGCAGCGAUGCAGAGGAUAAGGGAAGAAGAUGAGGAUUUGGGCUUGGAGGGACAAGAUUAUAACCUUGCUAUUGUUGUUUACUAACCACCUGAGGUUGCAGUUCCUUUGAGGAGAAGAGAAGAAGAAGAGGACGGCUGCAGGGACACAGUUCAAAGGAGCAAUAAGAGAAGAAGAGAAGACGAAGAGGAGGAACAGGGCAGUGGAGGAGAAAGGAAGAAGAGGAGUAGAAACCUCUGAUGUGAAGGGAUAUAGACAGUCUAUAACAUUACCAUUUUUUGCAUGUACUUGGCAUUUUCUUAAAUAGUCGGGCAUAGAACCAUUCUUUGUAUCAACAAGAGAUUUAAGCUCUUCUUUUAUUGGAAAAAGGGGAAUUGUUACCAUGUUCUUCUUCUGCGUACUUUUGGUGAAAAUUAGAUUAGAAACAUUA